CUCAUUAUUGGGGAAGGGAUUUAUUGGAUGCUGUUCCAGUUUGACUGCUAGGAGAGAAAACCUAUUCGUAUGGUUCCUAUUCAACUGUCUACAGCAUUCAUAUGCUUGGGAGAAUUUAUUUAUUUGUUUCUCCGGUUUGGUGAUUGUGGUGUCUGCCAGAGUGCUUGGAGUCCUCAGGAAGCGCUAGGAGCAUCCUUCAACGGAGGUAGCCAGUCGGGGUGCCAGGCGAUCCGUUACAAUGG